rfam:Fibulorhizoctonia sp. CBS 109695 unplaced genomic scaffold FIBSPscaffold_656, whole genome shotgun sequence.
AUCCGCGAAUUGAUGAUAUAUACCGAAUCAAGCAUAGUUCACACUGAAACUCUCAUGUUGACAAACCUGCAUCUAACGUCUUUCGCUCCUAUCUGAUCCCCAUC